AACCGAGUCUUAAUUGGGCGUUAAGUUGCAGGGUAUAGACCCGAAACCCGGUGAUCUAGCCAUGGGCAGGUUGAAGGUUGGGUAACACUAACUGGAGGACCGAACCGACUAAUGUUGAAAAAUUAGCGGAUGACCUGUGGCUGGGGGUGAAAGGCCAAUCAAACCGGGAGAUAGCUGGUUCUCCCCGAAAGCUAUUUAGGUAGCGCCUCGUGAAUUCAUCUCCGGGGGUAGAGCACUGUUUCGGCUAGGGGGCCAUCCCGGCUUACCAACCCGAUGCAAACUGCGAAUACCGGAGAAUGUUAUCACGGGAGACACACGGCGGGUGCUAACGUCCGUCGUGAAGAGGGAAACAACCCAGACCGCCAGCUAAGGUCCCAAAGUCAUGGUUAAGUGGGAAACGAUGUGGGAAGGCCCAGACAGCCAGGAUGUUGGCUUAGAAGCAGCCAUCAUUUAAAGAAAGCGUAAUAGCUCACUGGUCGAGUCGGCCUGCGCGGAAGAUGUAACGGGGCUAAAC
rnacentral:rRNA from 1 species